rnacentral:tRNA from 1 species
GGCCUGUUGGUCCAGUGGCAUGAUUCUCGCUUAGGGUGCGAGAGGUCCCGGGUUUCGACUCCUGGACAGGCCC